GCUUGACUCAGGAUGCAUAUUCUAAAAUUAGACCAAUAAAAGAGAGGGUUAGUGUGGCUCCUGCACAAGGAUUACACACAAAUUGUGAAGCAUUCCAUUUUUAG
ensembl:snRNA Rnu6-278 RNA, U6 small nuclear 278